AUAUAAACUGAAACAGCAGCAGCAGCAGCAGCAAUAACUGUGCUUCAAAGAGGAGAUUCAGAGAGCCGCUCCAGCUGUUCUGGGCAAGAGAUACAGCUGAGCCGAGUAGCAGCAAACUGGGAGAUGAUGGAAAUUCAGAAACAGCCAGGGGCAAGAAGUAAUCUACCCUAAUAUGAGCACUCUAUUGCCUUAUGUCUCAAAAGACUUGCAACAUUUUGACAACUGCACAAUGAACUACCCAAGCUGUGACUAGCAAGUAUUUAAAGAAGAAAAGUUAGUCCCAUUACUAGAGACACCCAGAAGCUUUUAAGAAAUCUAGCUUUCAGAUAUGCUAAGCACAAACCAUCUGAAAAUCGUGUAUUUUAAAUGUAUCUCGUCAUGACCAAACACCAGUUACCAACAGCUGAUAAGUGGACACUUCAGUCCAACUGACACAAGCAGAAAGAUUAAUUAUGAUAUACUACCAGUGAUAAUUAGAUGCCCUAGUUUUGAACAACCUCCU